rnacentral:tRNA from 1 species
GCGGGUGUAGUGUUCAAUGGCUAGCACACCAGCCUUCCAAGCUGUUAGAGAGGGUUCGAGUCCCUUCACCCGCU